GAGAAAGGUCUAGAGACACGAAGAACUGCUAACUCUUCAUUCCAUGGUU
rnacentral:tRNA from 1 species